GAUGAAGAACGUAGCGAAAUGCGAUAAGUAAUGUGAAUUGCAGAAUUCAGUGAAUCAUCGAAUCUUUGAACGCACAUUGCGCCCGCCAGUAUUCUGGCGGGCAUGCCUGUCCGAGCGACAUUUCAACCCUCGAACCCCUCCGGGGGGUCGGCGUUGGGGACCUCGGGAGCCCCUAAGACGGGAUCCCGGCCCCGAAAUACAGUGGCGGUCUCGCCGCAGCCUCUCCUGCGCAGUAGUUUGCACAACUCGCACCGGGAGCGCGGCGCGUCCACGUCCGUAAAACACCCAACUUCUGAAAUGUUGACCUCGGAUCAGGUAGGAAUACCCGCUGAACUUAAGCAUAUCAAUAAGCGGAGGA
rnacentral:misc_RNA from 1 species